rnacentral:lncRNA from 1 species
CCAUCUAUCAUGCUCUCCGGAAAAAAAAAGAACAACUUCAAAAUUCGAAAAAUAACUUACUUGGCUCGUAUUCCCAAUUACUUGAAGAAUGAUUCAAUCGUUGAUCUUAUGCCUGGUUACUUGAAGAUGAAUAGAUCUUGAUUAUAAUUCCCUUUCCUGUAAUUACUUGAAGACAAAUAGAAUAUGCUUCCUCUUUCGAAUUACUUGAAGAAUGAAUCGAUCGUUGAUCCCAUGUCCAGUUACUUAAAAACGAAUAAAUCUUGAUUAAACUCUCCUUUUCUGCAAUAACUUGAAGACAAAUAGAAUAUACUCCAAGAUGAUUGAAGAUGAAUAAAUCUUGAUUAUUCAUAUUUAUUUGUGAUGAGAGAGCGGGGAGGAAAGGAAAAAAAAAAAAAAAAAAAGAGCAGGAACAAAAAAGCGGGAAGGAAAUGUGAUGAGAGAGUGGAGAGGCUGAAAAAUGAAAAAUAUGAGCGGGAAUAAAGUGAUGAGAGAGUGGGGAGGAACGAAAAAUGAAAAAUAUGAGCGGGAAUUCAUGUAUAAAAGUAAAAAAUAUUUUGAAAUUAAAAGAAAUGAAAUUUUGAAAUUCGGUAAUUAAGAUGAAAAAUAUACAAUAUGUUGUUUGUAUUAAUUCACAUUCGAAUCAGAUCCGGAUAUAAUAAAUAAAUAUAUUUAUUUAUAAUGGUCGUGCGAAAGAUU